GCAGCUCAGUUGGUUAGAGUGUGAAACUGACAAUGCCAAGGUAGUGGGUCCGAUCCCCAUUUGGGACA